UACGUAGGGGGCAAGCGUUGUCCGGAUUUAUUGGGCGUAAAGAGCGUGUAGGCGGCCAGGUAGGUCCGUUGUGAAAACUCGAGGCUCAACCUCGAGACGCCGAUGGAAACCAUCUGGCUAGAGUCCGGAAGAGGAGAGUGGAAUUCCCGGUGUAGCGGUGAAAUGCGCAGAUAUCGGGAAGAACACCCGUGGCUAAGGCGGCUCUCUAGUACGGUACUGACGCUGAGACGCGAAAGCGUGGGGGAGCGAACAGG
rnacentral:rRNA from 1 species